CACACUAACAACUAUACUAAAGUGACUUUUUAAAAUAUUAUUAUAAAUUGAAAUUCUCUAUUAUAUAAACCACUAUUCUUAUUGAUCUUAUCCAAUUUAAAACUUUGGUGAUUGCUUUUACAUAUUUUAGUUAUUUUUUAAUAUGCCUAAUAUUUUGUAGAAGAUAUCUUAGUGAAAGAUAGUUAAAAGGCCUCUUAACAUUUUUGAACAAAAUAUCAAAAAUGCAUAAUAUUAACCUUGAACAAUAGAAAAAUGUCCACUUAAGUUUAAAAAUUAAAAAUAAAUUAUCUACGAAAAGUUUAUAAAUAAUUCAAAGUUUUAAGUACAAUUAAGAUCGCAUAAUAAUAAAUAUUUUAUUAUUUAUAUUUUAGUAAGAUAGAAGUUUAUUAAAAAUAUGAUAAAUAAAAAAUAUGUUAAUGUAUUUAUAUAAAUCAGAAAAAAAUUAUCACCAAAAUUUUAAAUUGGAUAAAAUGAAGAAAAAUAGUAGUUUAUAUAAUUUCAAAUUUGUAGAAAUAUUUAAAAAAGUUACUUUUAUCUAGUUGUUAGUGUGUCCAUUUAAAAGGGUAUCACAACACGGUUUGAGUCCCGGAAUGAACAUAUUUAUUUCUUUAUUUAUUUUUUCAAAGCUAUAUAUAUAUAUCAAAGCGACGUAGUCUUAUCUUGUUAAUGGUUGACUAAAUUCUGUUAGAGUCAAUGUAGAUUUAUGCACGUUUUAAGAAGUUCGGGCAGUUUUUCUUAAAUUAUAAUAAAGUUGAGUUCGGUUUUCACUGAACAUUUGUUCGGGUCCUAUUUGGCACGACUGAGAGUCUUGGGGUCAAAAUUGGCACUUUUCCUCGUAUAUCAAAAGAACGUCGUUUUAUCUUGUUAACGAUUGACUAACUUUUGUUAGAUUCAAUGUAUAUUUAAGCAUCUUUUAAGAAGUUUGGGUAAUUUUUUCGAAUUAUAAUUGAGUUGAGGUUGUAUUUGGCACUGAUCAAUUGUCCAGGUCGUAUUUGGUACGACCUAAAUUGUUGGGUCGAAAUUGACCCUGUGGUCACAUGGAUCACGUUUAGGAACUGGCUCUAAGAAAAUACCAAAUUCCAGAAUAGAAGAAGACAUUUAAGAAAAAAUAAUGGUUUUCAAAAUGGGCUUUACUGAUACGUGAACAGACAAAUUGGGCCAUGGGGUUUAAAAGAUUGCCACGUCACCUUAUAAUGACGUAAUUGAAUAUUCAAGAUGACGCAUUUAACUAGAUCCCCCUGGCCAGCUCUCGAAACUCUACCGCUGACUAAUUUACACAAGAUGCCCCUUCUUUAUCGCGCCGAUCUUGCUCGUAAGCCAUACCGUUGGAGGGUAAACCCGUCUUUUCAAGUAUUUAUAGAAGACACGCUUUGUCUAAAAUGUUCGACGACCAAGCAAAGAGGAUUAAUUAAAAGAUAAAAAAAAUGAGAGAGUUUGUUGGGUCGCCAAGAAUAGAGGAGGAAGCAAAGAGAGAAAGAGCGUUUGCGAUAAAAAGCCUUGGAGAAGAAGUCUUCUUCUUCCCUCCUCCUUUACAUCUCUUAUAAGAUGUUGUACACGCCUCUUCUUCUACUACCAAUCUUCGCCGUCAUCUCGCUUCCGUCUAACUCACGAUCUACCGCUGAUUUUUCCGUUCAGCUUCUUACGUGAGAGCCAUGCCUACUUUCUCAGCGAUUGCUUUGGAUAGAAUGCUUGAGCCAGGGGCUGCUUCCACAUCUGCCGAGGCUAUUCCAAGUACAAGGUCAUAUUAUGCAAAGCCACCAAUAUCUAAGCAGGAGAAAGGCAAAGAAACUCGUCCUCAGAUGUCACCAGCUCUCUACGCCACUCCUGAUGCAAUCCCACUCCCCAACUCGCCAUCGUCUUUCCCAAGAUGAUACAAAUCUUCAGUGACUUAUAAUACAAAAGUAUAUUGAUUUGUUUUAUUGGGUAUAAUAUAGUUUUGUGAAUAAAUUAAAAACAAAUCAAGGCUAAAAUUAUUUUUAAUCAUUGAUACUAAAGUAAAUAUAUCAUUAUUCUAAUUUUUUUCUCAGUUCUUCUAUAAUCAAAUACUUUAGUUCCAUUAGUUCUAUAAGGAGGUCCCUCAGAACCUUAGAAUUCGGGGACGAAUCCUGAUAGGAGAGAGAGGGGGGGAGGAGAAUGUAGAAACCCUUAAAAAAAAGUGGUCGAGUCGCGGACGAUCGGAUCGAUCGAGAGGUUCUGAAGUACGAGGAGAUCGAAGACUUGAUCGUGAGUAAACCAUGAGUCAAGUAAGCUACUCGACCAUGGUUAGACAAUGUGCUAGAUUGAUCAGAUGGACGUUUUAGAAGCUCGGCGUUUGAGCAGCAAGACGUUUCUUAAGCACGCAGUUUUCUUUAAAAGUUCGUAUCAGUGGAAUAUUAUGUUGGGAACAUAAUAAGUCAGAAGCAGGAUGGGAGUCAAGCAGCACGGGAAGUAAGCAGGACGGGAUCGAAGCACGGUGGGAAACCCCAAAGUUGGACGAACCCCUAAUUUCGGUAUUAUGAAUUUUUGGAGAAGCCGGAGGCUCGGAAAAUAUUUUCUGUCAGGUCAGGAUUCAUUUGAAUUUUAUUAAAAAUAUUCAUAGCAUCAGAAUGGGCGUAGAAAAAUAUUUGGGAUUGAUCGCGGAACGAAAAUUCACCGGAAAGACCGAAAUCGGACGAAUGGACCGACAAUCUCGAGUUAGCUCGAUCUAUGAGAUCAGGACGUGGUGGCAACUUCCUGGUAUGUUAUGUGACAAGGGAAGCACGAGGUGUUUCAAUAAAAAUGAUCGCAGCAUGCAGAGUGACACACAUAAGCACGAGGUGGAUCGACCAAGCAGCUAAGUGUCGCGACGCAUGCGACCAGGCCAUGCGGCCAGACAUGUGGAGGACGUGGUGUCUCCUUGCAUGCAGCCAAUCCAUGCAUAUAGACAGGUAGAGGGAAUGGUGUCACCUUGCAUGAAACUGAGACAUGCAGCCAGCCAUGUGGAGCACGAGGUGUCGCCGCACAUGCAUCCGGAGCCAUGCGAACGGACACACGGACUGCCACACGGCUAGUUCCUGAUUGGUUGAUGUUUCCUAUAAAUUUCCCACGACUCCCUCUCAUUUUAACACAUACAAAACACUUCAAAGUCAGUUCAAAACGUGAGAGAGAAAGCAAAGAAAGAAAGAUCGAGUUUCAAUAGUUUUCGAGAGAUUUAAGCAGUUUUCAAGAACAGUUACUCUGCCGAUUUUCAGUCAGUACCUGGAGAAGGUUCUGUUCAAGUGAAGAGAGAUCAGUUCUAGUGGAAAUCAGUUCAAGACCAGUCUGGACGUGGGUCUACUUGAGAUGGUCGAGAAAGGGUUCGGAUCGCAGAAGUCGGGUUUGGGGUCAAGGCCACGGUCAACCAAAAGUCACCAGUAGUGAGCUUGCAGAGGUUACGGGAUGCUAAGGUGGCUAGAGUAGAUUUGCAUCUUUUUGGUUAAAGCGUUUUCAGACUAUAAGUAUGUAUCUUUUGCACUAUUAGCAUGCCAUCACUUGUAUAAUAUUUUGUGUGUUGUAAACCAUAUGAAAUAAAUAAAGCAAAUGUUUUGUGCAAACGCCUUGUUGUUUCUGAUAUUAGCUUGUUCAAGCUAACACAAUGUCAGGUUGGAGUACGGGUUGAAAAUCCCUACGCUUUGAUCUGACGGGACGUGUUAGUGAGCGGACUGGCCUAGUUACGAAUGGCACGUUUCGUGACCUUGGUUGGAUUGCCCGUUAACCCGUCAUGUAGCGCUCCCGAACUUUGGUAGACGGUCGGCCCAUCGGUCAUGUUCUUGUUUGAUUGUUGGCCGGUGGUUCGACCUAUGCAUAAAACGGUUCGGGGUGUUACUCUUAGAGGAUUAUUGGUAAGAGAAUUCUCAUGAAUUUUGAAAAUUUUGAGUUUCAUUGUUACUGAUUCUUGGAUUUCAAAAAUCUUAGUAUAAUCCAUUAUUAUUGGUUUAAGUAUUUUCAAAAUCCAUUCAAAUUCCUUGUUAUUCAAAAAGUUUUAUUAUUGAUUCUCUAAUUCUAACAAAAUCUAGUAUUAUUGGGAGAUGGAUUUUUAUUCAUUUUUACUCAACUUUCAAAAUAUCAUAUGUAACUUUGUGAUUUUCAAAAUCUAUGUGAUAAAAAACUAGAAAACAAAAUAAUUAUUCUUACCAAAUAUCUAUUGCACCUUAAAUCCAAAUUAUAUGUCCAAAACUAUAAUUCAUUACAUGUAUAUACUUUUCCAUUUUAGAAUUUAUAAUUA